CAGGUUCAAGAAGUGGAAAUAUUACCUACCGAGGAAGCUCAGGUUGAGAAAGAUGUCAAAAUGACUGAUAACAUUGGACAUCCAGACGUUGUUGAAGAAACCCCUGCUGAUGUUCCUGAAGCUACUAAACUAAAUGAGGAGGAAAAGGAUGUACAGAUUCAAGAAUCAGAAAACAAACCUAAUGAAGAAGCUCAGGUUGAAAAAGAUGUCAACAAUGUUGAAGAGGCUCUUGCUGAAAAAGCAGCGGAGGAAAAGGAUGUACAG
rnacentral:misc_RNA from 1 species